rnacentral:rRNA from 1 species
UAAAACAGCUAUAAUUUGCUCGAAUUUGAUUCCUAAACGGAUAUCUGCGAUAAAUUUGGAGCUAAUACGUGCGCCAAGCCUCUGCUCUCUGAGUGGAGGGCACUUAUUUACCGAAGACUAAACGGGCUGCAAGGCUCGCUUUGGUGACUCUGAAUAAUUUCGCUGACCGCAUGGUUUCGUACCGGCGGCGUUUCGUUCGAGUAGCUGACCUAUCAACUAUCGUUGGAAGUCUAUGUGGCUACCAAGGUGGUGACGGGUAACGGAGAAUAAGGGUUCGACUCCGGAGAGGGAGCCUGAGAAACGGCUACCACAUCCAAGGAAGGCAGCAGGCGCGUAAAUUACCCACUCUCAAUGCGAGGAGGUAGUGACUAUCAAUAACGAGACAGAUCUCUAUGAGGCCUGUUAUCGGAAUGGGUACAAUGUAAACCCUUUAACGAGGAUCUAUGAGAGGGCAAGUCUGGUGCCAGCAGCCGCGGUAAUUCCAGCUCUCAAAGUGUAUAUCGUCAUUGCUGCGGUUAAAAAGCUCGUAGUUGGAUCUGAGAUGUCGGAGGUGGUGCUCUCUGAGUAACUGCCGUUCGUGUCUGAAUGUCGGUUUAGCGUAGCCUUCACGGGUUGCGUUGACUGGCGUGAUUACCUUGAAUAAAUUAAAGUGCUCAAAACAGGCGUUACGCUUGUAUAUCCGCUCAUGGAAUAAUGGAAUAUGACUUCGGUUUGUUCUGUUGGUCUUAGAACCGAAAUAAUGGUUAAGCGGGACUGACGGGGGCAUACGUAUCGCUGCGAUAGAGGUGAAAUUCUUGGACCGCAGCGGGACGCCCAAUUGCGAAAGCAUUUGCCAAGAAUGUCUUCAUUAAUCAAGAACGAAAGUCAGAGGWUCGAAGGCGAUUAGAUACCGCCCUAGUUCUAACCGUAAACUAUGCCUACUAGAUGUUUGAUGGUAAUGUAAAUUAUUAUUGAGCAUCUUCUCGGAAACGAAAGUCUUUCGGUUCCGGGGGAAGUAUGGUUGCAAAGCUGAAACUUAAAGGAAUUGACGGAAGGGCACCACCAGGAGUGGAGCCUGCGGCUUAAUUUGACUCAACACGGGAAAACUCACCCGGGCCGGACAUAAGAAGGAUUGACAGAUUUAGAGCUCUUUCAAGAUUUUAUGGUUGGUGGUGCAUGGCCGUUCUUAGUUCGUGGAUAUGAUUUGUCUGGUUGAUUCCGAUAACGAACGAGACUGUUAAUUUAUUUUACACGUGGGGGAUUCUUAAUCCUUUAACGGUUAAUAAAUGAUUAGUGAUGUUUAAUCACUUGAGAAAGAGCAAUAACAGGUCUGUGAUGCCCUUAGAUGUCUGGGGCUGCACGCGCGCUACAAUGUAGUGAGCACUAUGUUCCUGAUUCGAGAGGAUUGGGUAAACCUUGAAAGCAUUACGUAACUGGGAGUGUAACUUGCAAUUAUGUUACAUGAACGAGGAAUUCCAAGUAAACGUGAAUCAUUAGUUCACAUUGAUUACGUCCCUGCCCUUUGUACACACCGCCCGUCGCUGCCCGGAACUGAGCAAUGUCGAGAAGAUCGGGGACUGUUCUUUCGGGAAAUGAAACCA